rnacentral:lncRNA from 1 species
AUGGAACAAGAUGAGGAGGACGACUUUGUUAGCUUUCGGAAUUUUAUGUCACUGGAUGUGGGUUUCACGUGUCAAUUAACAAUCAACUAAACAGUCAAACAAACGGUUUACUUAUGGAUGAGACCCAGUAGUCAUAAGCAUGAUUAAAAUUUAAUCACAUGGCAAUUUAGUUUUUUUUUUGAACAGCCCAUCACUUUUGUGAUAGUUUUUUGAACAAUCAAAAAAAGUGGUAGUUUUUCGUAGACCUAACCUACAAUGUGGUAGUUUUAUGUUAUUUACUCUCUUUCUGGUGUUCAUCUUGGCACGGUUCGUCACCUCUUACUCGUCAUAACAUCGGGGCACAAAUAAAUGAAUGAGAAAAAGCAAAUCAAAUAGCAGCCAAACACAAGUCAGAGUGAGCGGGUAGCAGAGAUUUUGAUAAGAUGGAUAUUCUAUAAACUGAGGUAGCAAAGAAGAUUCAAUGGAUUCACUGGGUUUAGGUUUAGGAUGGCUAAUCAUAGCUUGGCCAUUGACUAAAUAGUACCCAUUAUAUAUACCUUGGGCCAAUCGUGUAAAUAAACAUGACAUGCCAAUACACGAAAUAAUAAAACUAUGCUAUGCACUUUAGCCACAUAAGCGACACCAUGGCAUGUCAGAAGUAGUAGUUAGCCACUAAAUUUAGACAUGGCUAAAUAUUUACAGUUGUUAACGACAACCAAAACUAAACGUCGACAAUGUAACCAUUAGCAAGAAUUUCC